rnacentral:rRNA from 1 species
CAAUAGCGUAUAUUAAAGUUGUUGCAGUUAAAAAGCUCGUAGUUGGAUUUCUGAGAGGAUGCCAAUGUCCUUCUGUGUAAGUGUGCAGCGGCGUCUUUUCAUCCUUCUGUUAACACCUCUUGGCAUUCGUUUGCUGGUGGUGGGCUCAGAUAUUUUACCUUGAGAAAAUUAGAGUGUUUCAGGCAGGCUAGGCCGGAAUACAUUAGCAUGGAAUAAUGGAAUAGGACUACGGUCUCUUUGUUGGUUUGAGGGACUGCAGUAAUGAUUAAUAGGGAUAGUUGGGGGCAUUAGUAUUUAAUUGUCAGAGGUGGAAUUCUCGGAUUUGUUAAAGACUAACUUAUGCGAAAGCAUUUGCCAAGGAUGUUUUCAUUA